rnacentral:rRNA from 1 species
GUACGGGAGGCAGCAGUGGGGAAUUUUGCGCAAUGGGCUAACGCCUGACGCAGCAACGCCGCGUGGAGGAUGAAGGUCUUUGGAUUGUAAACUCCUGUCAGCAGGGAAAAAGCGAAUCGGCCUAACACGCCGGUGAGUUGAUUGUACCUGCAGAGGAAGCCCCGGCUAACUCUGUGCCAGCAGCCGCGGUAAUACAGAGGGGGCAAGCGUUAUUCGGAAUUAUUGGGCGUAAAGGGCGCGUAGGCGGCUUGGCAAGUGGAUGGUGAAAUCCCUCGGCUUAACCGAGGAACUGCCAUCCAGACUGCUUUGCUUGAGGCCGGGAGAGGCGAGUGGAAUUCCCAGUGUAGCGGUGAAAUGCGUAGAUAUUGGGAGGAACACCAGUGGCGAAGGCGGCUCGCUGGACCGGUUCUGACGCUGAGGCGCGAAAGCGUGGGGAGCAAACGGGAUUAGAUACCCCGGUAGG